GCGCCUACGGGGCGCAGCAGUAGGGAAUCUUCCACAAUGGACGAAAGUCUGAUGGAGCAACGCCGCGUGAGUGAAGAAGGGUUUCGGCUCGUAAAGCUCUUUUGGUAGUGAAGAAAGAUAGAGGGAGUAACUGGCCAUUAUUUGACGGUAAUUUAUUAGAAAGUCACGGCUAACUACGUGCCAGCAGCCGCGGUAAUACGUAGGUGGCAAGCGUUGUCCGGAUUUAUUGGGCGUAAAGCGAGCGCAGGCGGUUUAAUAAGUCUGAUGUGAAAACCUUCGGCUCAACCGGAGUAGUGCAUUAGAAA
rnacentral:rRNA from 1 species